ensembl:lncRNA
GCUACACAGGCUGAAAAACCACUAGCAAUUUCAGCAAGGUCUCUUGGAAAUAAUUUUUAAUAAAGUCCAAUCAAUUCACCAAAAGGUUACCAUACAACAUGUUAGGUGCCAAGUGUUGUGCUAUGUCAUAGAAAUAAGAUACAAAUUACCUCAAGAAAGUCAAGGUCAAGUGGGUAAGAUUAAGAGAAAUAUCAACAGUAAUACAUCUGACACAUGUAUUGCUAGGUGUUCAUCCAAGGAGAAAUCUCAUGAAGACAGUAAGGAAAGGCUAGAAAGAGGACAUGGCAUUUGAGCUGAGUUUUGAAGGAUGAGUAGGAACUCACCUACUGAAGGUAUGGAAAGGGAGCACAUUGCAGGAUGACAGAGCAGCAUGAACAAAGUUCCUGAACUACACACAGGUGAGAAUUUAAUGCAUCAAGGCCUUCAAAGAAACCACUUCCUAAAGAGUGAUGUAUUUCCCACUCCUUCAGACUCGUCUAUCAGCCAAGAACCCAUUCAUGUGUUAGUGUCAUUUGAAAGGAAAAGAUUACCCUAGGUGUAAUAGUUGAUGAUGACACCCAGGUGCCUUUAUGACAUUCAAUUUUCACCCACCUCCUUCAUUGUUACAGAAGCUGCCUCCCACCAGGAGGAGUGAAAACAUCUGACAGUUGCAUUGCAGCCUUCCUUUCGGCUUGGCCAUAGGCAUGUGAGCCAAUUCUGGCCAAUGAUUAUUAAGAUGACGUUUUCUAGAGUAGAAAUCCUUAGCAAAGAUUUCUUUUCUCCUGUUGAAAAGACAUGUACAACACAAAACUGCCCUUCUUUUCCCUGAAUAUAUUUAUGUGAAGACAUGAUAUAUGGAGAUACAACAGCCAUGUUGAAAACGUAACAGGACAAACCUGAAAGUGAAAGCCAACACACUGAGGAUGUCCCAUCAGAAAGAUGAUGGGAACACCUGGGUCCUGCAUGACAUCAUCUUAGCUCCAGAUGUCUCGUUAAGUAAACCUAUAAAUUUCCUUAUGAUUUGAGCUAUUUUAAUCAAGGUAUACUUUACUUAGGACCUAAAGCAUCCCAAUUGAUAUAAUUCUUGUCAGAGGGUGAAAAACUGCUUCCAUCAAGGCUAGUAAAGCUUGGGAAAAGAGUAAAUAAGAUUUCCAUGUGAUGUGACUAAAAAUGCUAUUGAAACGUAUUCCCCUACCACGUGGCAUUCCUUAUCUGAAAUUCCCAUGGGUAGAGGCUCAAUGAUAUUCAUUCCACAAAGAAACUUUGACCAUUAUGUGUAGGGUUGUCAGAUAAAUAUUUGGGACCUAUUUACACUAAAAAUUUUUCAUGUUUAUCUGAAAUUCAAAUUUAACUGGACGUCCUGGGUUAUCUGACAGGUCUGGCAACCUUAAGUAAGUGCCGUGUCCUAGGCUCUGGGGAUACAUCGCUAUUCUUUACUGCAAGGAACUCAUCUCCUUCAAAGCCUACAGGUGAUUCUAACGUGCAGACUGGUUACAGAUCCACCAUCUUGGAAACUCUCAUUCAACUCCACAUUCUGCAGUUCAGAAAACUGAAGCCAGAAGAGGUCGUGUGAUUUGCCUAAAGGCACGCAGCUGUUCAAAGGCAAAGGUGGCACUAGCUCCCACAUUCAGGAUUCUUUCCUAUGUACAUUUUUCUAGCUGCCUCAUCACUUCUGCUCCUAAAAGCUCUUUGUUUUAGGAUGAAAUGAGAAGCUACUUUUGUUUGACUUGGUAGAGAGAGGGUGGCUUAUAGUAUAAAUGGUCUGAGUUCCUUUAAUGAGAAAGAUGAUCACAUUUUAGUCACCUAAAUGUUUUAUGUCAGGAGAGUAUUUUGAGUAAGAAGGGAAGGACAAAAAUUACAGAGCAAGAAAGUCUUGUCGAAGUCCAUAGAAAUACUUUCUUGAAGAGAAAAUUUUCCAAAUACUAUUUUAGGUAGUUUAUAUAUAUAUUAUAUAUAGUUAUAUAUAUAAUCACAUGUACA